rnacentral:rRNA from 1 species
AGUGAACGCUGGCGGUAGGCCUAACACAUGCAAGUCGAACGGCAGCACAGUAAGAGCUUGCUCUUACGGGUGGCGAGUGGCGGACGGGUGAGGAAUACAUCGGAAUCUACUUUUUCGUGGGGGUUAACGUAGGGAAACUUACGCUAAUACCGCAUACGACCUACGGGUGAAAGCAGGGGAUCUUUGGACCUUGUGCGAUUGAAUGAGCCGCUGUCGGAUUAGCUAGUUGGCGGGGUAAAGGCCCACCAAGGCGACGAUACGUAGCUGGUCUGAGAGGAUGAUCAGCCACACUGGAACGGAGACACGCUCCAGACUCCUACGGGAGGCAGCAGUGGGGAAUAGUGGACAAUGGGCGCAAGCCUGAUCCAGCCAUACCGCGUGGGUGAAGAAGGCCUUCGGGUUGUAAAGCCCUUUUUUUGGGAAAGAAAAGCAGCAGGUUAAUACCCCGCUGUUCUGACGGUAACCAAUGAAUAAGCACCGGCUAACUUCGUG